GCCAGGAGGGCACUAAUCUCCGUUAGCGAAGAAGGCUGGUGGCUGCCUGCUGGCCUUGACCCUCACACUUUUCCAGUCUUGCCUGACCGGCCCCUCGAGCCAGGAGCCCUUCCCUUCGGCCGUCAGAGGUCGGCGCCCUGGCUUGGUCCCCCGGCCACUGCGUGCAGCCCCGCGGCCGCCUCCACGCCGGAUCGCGAAGAAUGCUGGCUGGCCUUGAUUCUGACACUUUUCCUGCCUGCUCGGUCCCUCGAGCCAGGAGCCUUUCCCUUCGGCCGUCAGGACUGUGCUCCUGGGUACCACAGAGGGAAGCUCCCAGAAAGCAGUGCCUGGGGACCGCGCCCUCUACUGGCUCCUUGUGUGCCCUGCAGUUGCAACAACCACAGUGAUGUCUGUGACCCGG